GACCAAUGUGGUAAAAAACAGUCUGCAAAGUAUCUGUGUGUGUGUGUGUGAGUGAAAGACGGCCGUCAGUGAAUGAGGAGAGUGGAUGAAUAAAAGAGUUGUUUGACUGGACAAAUAUUAAACACAAAACACC